UACGUAGGGGGCAAGCGUUGUCCGGAAUCAUUGGGCGUAAAGAGCGUGUAGGCGGCUCGGUAAGUCCGCUCUGAAAGCCCGGGGGCUCAACCCCCGGGAGGCGGGCGGAUACUGUCGGGCUAGAGUCCGGAAGAGGCGAGUGGAAUUCCUGGUGUAGCGGUGAAAUGCGCAGAUAUCAGGAGGAACACCAAUGGCGAAGGCAGCUCGCUGGGACGGUACUGACGCUGAGACGCGAAAGCGUGGGGAGCAAACAGG
rnacentral:rRNA from 1 species